UACGUAGGGAGCAAGCGUUGUUCGGAAUUACUGGGCGUAAAGAGAACGUAGGCGGGGGAGUAAGUUAGAAGUGAAAUGCAUCGGCUUAACCGGUGACCUGCUUUUAAUACUGCUUCUCUUGAGUAUGGGAGAGGAAGAUGGAAUUCCAGGUGUAGCGGUGGAAUGCGUAGAUAUCUGGAAGAACACCAGUUGCGAAGGCGGUCUUCUGGCCCAAUACUGACGCUGAGGUUCGAAAGCUAGGGGAGCGAACAGGAUUAGAUACCCCCGUA
rnacentral:rRNA from 1 species